AUGUGUCCUCAGGGAAGGACCUGAUUGGUGUCCAGAACCUGCUGAAGAAGCACGAGGCUCUGCAGGCUGAGAUCACAGGUCAUGAACCUCGCAUCAAGGCUGUCACCCAGAAAGGAGAGACCAUAAUGGAGGAAGGUAGAGCAGGUCUGGUCCUGACAUGUUUCUGAGGUGUCUGCAGGUUCUGGCUCACUUUGUUUGGGUCCAGGUCACUUCGCUGGUUCAGAACCCUCGGCCCGUCAGAACAUUCUUAUCCACCACGUUCUAACACCAGACCUGUUAACCCAACAGCAACAAGUGGCUCCAACUGACGAUGAGACCGGGAAGGAGCUGGUUCUGGCUCUGUACGACUACCAGGAGAAGAGUCCUGGAGAGGUCACCAUGAAGAAGGGCGACAUCCUCACGCUGCUCAACAGCACCAACAAGGUUGUUUUACUUGAACUCGCGUCUUUAGCUGAAUGAGGAUGGAGAGACGGGUCGAACCUGGAGCAGGUCGAGGUCUUGCAGAAGAAGUUUGACGACUUCCAGAAGGACCUGAAGGCCAACGAGUCCCGCCUGAGGGACAUCAACAAGGUGGCAUCUGAACUGGAGUCAGAAGGUCUGAUGGCUGAGGAGGCUCCUAUGGUUCAGGCUCAGCAACAAGAACAUCUGGGUUCUGCUCCUGGAAAGGAUGAAGCCGACUCUAACCCCGGCUUUCCACAGGAGUCGUCAGCAGCACGUUACUGCAGCAGCACGUCAUAGCUGCUGAUAGGAACCGCUGUGGUCAACAGAACCUUUUCCACCGGAGCCGUCAGCAGCGCGAGUCGGCCGCGUCUCAGGAGCAGCAUGUCGCGGCCCUUACGCGCCGGUUCUAUUUUCUACGCGCGACGCCUCUGAAACGGGUCAAGUUCGACAUUUUUGGGGAAGGAAAGACAGGAAAUCGGACGCGGAAAUUGAGAGAAGCUACCGAGAUUUUCAGAAUAAAGAACGUACUGCCUUCCGGUUGCUUUACUUUUAAAAAAGGUUACUAACUGAGCGGCCCCGUGAGAAGUUAUCACCUAGCUAGCGGUCUCCUUUGUUUUUCAGGUCCGUAUUGGCGAUUAUAAAACGGACAGAACAUAAAACACAAACCAUGUUGUAGUUUUCUCCUGCUUGUUGUUGUGUUUACUGACGAAGUCACUCGAGUGACUUCGUGCUCGGUCGGUGACAGCUGCUCCCCUGCUGCUUCGCGUCUCGUGGGAAGGGCCAAGCAGCAGCUUACGCGAGCAAGACGUGCUGCUGCAGUAACGUGCUGCUGACGGCUCCCGUGGAAACCCGGGGUAACACGGCGUCACCCUAGAAGGUGAGUUCAUUCAGCUGAUCAGAGGUCACCUCUGAUGGCCGCAGUCACGGCCGACCGUGCUGAAAUCACACAGGAAUUCAGGUGACCCGGCAGGCACCAGGUGCUGGUGAAAGUGGGGACAUGUCAGCUGGUUGCCAUGGCUACAGUUAUCUUUAUGCAUCUGUAUGACUGCUGACUGGUGUGUGUUUCCUGUGACCUUUGACCUCAGACCGUACGGUUGGGCGUUCAGACGACGGCUAACUUUAAUUCCAUCAAGGAGCUGAACAACCGCUGGCGCUCGCUGCAACAUGCUGGGCAGCGCCCAUGAGGUGUAGCGCUUCCACAGAGACGCUGAUGAGACCAAAGAGUGGAUCGAGGAGAAGAACCAGGCCCUGAACACAGACAACUACAGCCACCACCUGGCCAGCGUUCAGGCUCUGCAGCGUGAACAUGAAGGCUUUGAGCGUGACCUGGCAGCUCUGGGUGAUAAGGUCCGCUUUCCUGAUCGGUACCAGGACCCGAGUUGUCUCUGGAGACACGUUCUUCGUGGUUCUGGUGACUCCACCCCAGCCGUUCCUGAUCAGCGAUCAGCGGGGUGCUUUCCUAUUUAAGGUGGAUGGAGGACACAAUUUGACGCCAGAAGAUUGCCUCAGUUUUGGAUUCCUGUCGACCUCAUUGGAUACUGACCUCUACUCCAGGAUUUGGAUAUUCAACACACGGACCUUAUCACCACCCUCCAUAACCCACCUCUCAUCUCACCCGUUGCCCCAUCCACCAGGACGCCCCGCUUCUCUCCACCUCUGCUCCCUCUCCUGCGCUUCCCCCGGCUCUCUACCUCUCUCUCCUCCAGCCAACACAUACACCCACCACAAUGCUGAGCUGUUGUUGCAGUUCCAACCACAGACUUAUCUGUGCACCUUAAGUUCCUCCUUAUAAAUAAAUCAUUUUUUCCAUCAGUUUUUGGUCAGUGUUGUAUUCUGCAUGUCUUGGGUUAAGUACCUUCCUCCAAACAUGACACUCCUCCUCAAAGAGCAAAUCUGUUCAGCACAUUCUGACAGACAGACCACCAUUCUUCUGUCAUGAUGCUGUACAGGACAUUUUUAGAGUUUUUCUUUUUAAAGAUAAAUAGGAUUACAUUUAAAUAGCAAUACUUUCACAUUAUCAUUUUCCCACACUUCUGUAUAACUGUAUUUUGUUGUUUUUCAAUAAAGAAUGACAAACUA